GAUGAACGCUGGCGGCGUGCCUAAUACAUGCAAGUCGAGCGAACAGACGAGGAGCUUGCUCCUUUGACGUUAGCGGCGGACGGGUGAGUACACGUAGGUAACCUACCUAUAAGACUGGGAUAACUUCGGGAAACCGGAGCUAAUACCGGAUAAUAUUUCGAACCGCAUGGUUCGAUAGUGAAAGAUGGCUUUGCUAUCACUUAUAGAUGGACCUGCGCCGUAUUAGCUAGUUGGUAAGGUAACGGCUUACCAAGGCAACGAUACGUAGCCGACCUGAGAGGGUGAUCGGCCACACUGGAACUGAGACACGGUCCAGACUCCUACGGGAGGCAGCAGUAGGGAAUCUUCCGCAAUGGGCGAAAGCCUGACGGAGCAACGCCGCGUGAGUGAUGAAGGUCUUCGGAUCGUAAAACUCUGUUAUUAGGGAAGAACAAACGUGUAAGUAACUGUGCACGUCUUGACGGUACCUAAUCAGAAAGCCACGGCUAACUACGUG
rnacentral:rRNA from 1 species